GAGUUAUUUUUAAUUUUCCAUAAUUGAGAAAUCGAAUUCUAUUUUUAAAAGAGUGCACUAUGAGCUACAGAUUAGUGCUAAUGUUUAGUGAACUGAAUCAUCUAAGUAACUAAUAUAAUAAAAAUCAACCGAGAAUCCGAUAAUAGUGGCGAACGAAUUUGGAUAAGAAAUAAAAAAGUUUUUAAUAAUUUUUAGAAUCAUAAAAGCCGUAGAAGGAAAGCUAAAUGAAAUAAGAUAGCCCUGUAUAAAUAAAUUGAAAACUUGUUAUAAGUAAAAUGAUACAAGUCGUGUAUCGUUUGAAUCUUGAGGGACCAUCCUCAAAGUUUAAAAUUUUUGAUGAUUGAUAGCGCAAAGUACCGUGAGGGAAUGGAUUAUAUACUUGUGAAAUUUAAUGUUGACGAGCAGUUAGCACUUUUUAAAAGUAAUAACGUACUUUUUGCAUAACGGACCAACAAGUUUAUUUUAGUGGCGAGCUUAAGUAUAUAAUAUUAUGUAGGCGAAAAGAAACUAAGUACUAAGUUGUAAAUACAAUUUUUAGUCUCUAGAAUAAAACCCGAAACUAAGUGAUCUAACCAUGAGCAAGUUGAAAUUUAAAUUUCGAUUUAAUGAAGGACUGAACCCGUGUGUGUGGCAAAAUACUGGGAUGACUUGUGGUUUGGAGUGAAAGGCUAAUCAAACUUAGAAAUAGCUGGUUUUCUGCGAAAUCUAUUUAAGUAGAGUGUUUGAAUUAUUACUUUUUCUAGGGUAGAGCUCUCAAUAAGCUAUGGGGAUAAAUUUAUCUUACUGAUCUUAAUGAAACUUCUAAUAUAGAUUGAAAAGGUUUUCAAGCAAACAAACUAUGGGUGCUAAGAUUCAUAGUUAAGAGGGAUACAGCCCAGACUAUUAGUUAAGGUCCUUAAAUGUAAUUAAGUGCAAAAAUCGUGAAAAAAUGUUGACAAUCGAUAGGUAGGCUUAGAAGCAGCCAUCCUUUAAAGAAAGCGUAACAGCUCAUUGAUAGAGUUUUUUUGCGUUGAAAAUUUAAAGGGACUUAAAUUACAAACCGAAACUAUAGAUUUUGUAAGUUUUUUACAAAAUGGUAGCAGAACGUUCUGUAGAUUAAAGAAGAUUUAUGGUGGCAUAAAUUGGAAAAAUCAGAAGUGAAUAUGUUGGUAUGAGUAGCUAAAAACAACGUCCAACUUAAAUUAAACUGUGUUGGUAGACGAACUCCCGAAUUGUUUACGCAUGGGCCUCUGGUUAAUUUAAGUUGUUUUUCAGAAAAACGUUGUCACCUUAAGUUCAAGGUUUUCGGGAUAUAAGGAUUAACCGUCUCGAUUGUAAAACGGUCUCUAAGAGAAAAACGAAAGUUUUUGUUGAUGAGGGAAAAAAAGAAUUCUUUUUUUGUUUUUUAGUGACAAAAUAUGAAUAUAAUUCUUGUUAUAUUGAGAAAGCAAAAUGGGAGAUUAAUAUAAAAGGGUUGUAUAAUAUUUUCAGGAAAUAGCUAGAAACAAUAUUAAAACCGUACUAAAAUCAACACAGAUGAACGAGUUUAAAAAAUUAAGGUGGUUGAGAGAAUUAUGUUGAAGGAACUCGGCAAAUUUACUCCGUAACUUCGGAAUAAGGAGGGACUUUAUAAAGGGAAACCUGUAAAGUUAUCAUGAAAAUAGGAGCAGCGACUGUUUAAUAAAAACACAGGUCUUUGCUAAUUCGUAAGAAGAUGUAUUGAGACUGACGCCUGCCCAGUGCUGCAAGAUUAAAGGAAAUUGUUUAUGGCAUUUUCCCUAAACCCCAGUAAACGGCGGCUGUAACUCUGACGGUCCUAAGGUAGCGAAAUUCCUUGGCAUUUAAUUGGUGUCCUGCAUGAAUGGCGUAACGACUGCUCCGCUGUCUCCAACAGAAACUCAGUGAAAUUGAAUUUUCCGUGAAGAUGCGGAAUGCUUGCGGCUAGACGGAAAGACCCUGUGCACCUUUACUAUAGUUAUGCAUUGUACUAAAAGCUUUUAUGUGUAGUAUAAGUGGUAAGCUAAACUUUUAUUUUUCGUUCGUGAACGAAAAAUAAUGAAAUGUGCUUGCGCCAGCAAGUCAUGUCUGUAGCAUAAAAUGAAAUACCACUCUUCGAAGUUUUUAGUACUUAUUUUAGACAGUGCGUAAGUGUUAGUUUGACUGGGGCGGUCGCCUCCCAAAAAGUAACGGAGGCGUGCAAAGGUAAAUUUAAAUUGAAUAUUAUCAAUUUUUAAGCGUAAUAGUAACAAUAUUUGCUUGACUGUAAGAUUGACAAAUCAAGCAGGGACGAAAGUCGGUUAUAGUGAUCCGGUGAUUCUGAAUGGAAAAGGUCAUCGCUCAACGAAUAAAAGGUACGCCAGGGAUAACAGGCUAAUCACUCCCUAGAGACCCUAUCGACGGGGUGGUUUGGCACCUCGAUGUUGGAUCAUCGCAUCCUGGGGCUGUAAGUGGUCCCAAGGGUUUGGCUGUUCGCCAAGGAAGGCGGUACGUGAUCUGAGUUUAGAACGUUGUGAAACAGUUUGGUCCCUAUCUUCCGUGAGUUAGAAAACUGAAAGGAGUAGACCUUAGUACGAGAGGACCGGGAAAAGCGAAUCCAUUGUGUAUCGAUUGGUUGUUAUAAAACUGCCAUCGUCGAGUAGCUACAUUCGUAAUAAAUAAUCGCUGAAAGCAUUUUAAGUGAGAAAUUAACCUUUAAACUAGUUUUUAAAUAAAUGUGAUAGAUUAUCACAAGAAUAGGCUUAGUGUGAAAGAGUUGUAAGAUUUUUAGCUAAUAAGUACUAAUUUAAAAAAUUUUUAACCAAUUAUUUU
rnacentral:rRNA from 1 species